CCUACGGGUGGCAGCAGUGGGGAAUAUUGGACAAUGGGGGGAACCCUGAUCCAGCGACGCCGCGUGAGUGAAGAAGUAUUUCGGUAUGUAACGCUCUAUCAGCAGGGAAGAAAGAAAUGACGGUACCUGACUAAGAAGCCCCGGCUAACUACGCGCCAGCAGCCGCGGUAAUACGUAGGGGGCAAGCGUUAUCCGGAUUUACUGGGUGUAAAGGGAGCGUAGACGGCGAUGCAAGUCUGAAGUGAAAGGCGGGGGCGCAACCCCUGGACUGCUUUGGAAACUGUAUGGCUGGAGUGCAGGAGAGGUAAGUGGAAUUCCUAGUGUAGCGGUGAAAUGCGUAGAUAUUAGGAGGAACACCAGUGGCGAAGGCGGCUUACUGGACUGUAACUGACGUUGAGGCUCGAAAGCGUGGGGAGCAAACAGGAUUAGAUACCCUAGUAGUC
rnacentral:rRNA from 1 species